GACGAACGCUGGCGGCGUGCUUAACACAUGCAAGUCGAACGGAAAGGCCCUGCUUUUGUAGGGUGCUCGAGUGGCGAACGGGUGAGUAACACGUGAGUAACCUGCCCUUGACUUUGGGAUAACUUCAGGAAACUGGGGCUAAUACCGGAUAGGAGCUCCUGCUGCAUGGUGGGGGUUGGAAAGUUUCGGCGGUUGGGGAUGGACUCGCGGCUUAUCAGCUUGUUGGUGGGGUAGUGGUUUACCAAGGCUUUGACGGGUAGCCGGCCUGAGAGGGUGACCGGCCACAUUGGGACUGAGAUACGGCCCAGACUCCUACGGGAGGCAGCAGUGGGGAAUAUUGCACAAUGGGCGGAAGCCUGAUGCAGCAACGCCGCGUGCGGGAUGACGGCCUUCGGGUUGUAAACCGCUUUCGCCUGUGACGAAACGUGAGUGACGGUAAUGGGUAAAGAAGCACCGGCUAACUACGUG
rnacentral:rRNA from 1 species